rnacentral:rRNA from 1 species
AUUGAACGCUGGCGGCAGGCCUAACACAUGCAAGUCGAGCGGAUGACGGGAGCUUGCUCCUUGAUUCAGCGGCGGACGGGUGAGUAAUGCCUAGGAAUCUGCCUGGUAGUGGGGGACAACGUUUCGAAAGGAACGCUAAUACCGCAUACGUCCUACGGGAGAAAGCAGGGGACCUUCGGGCCUUGCGCUAUCAGAUGAGCCUAGGUCGGAUUAGCUAGUUGGUGGGGUAAUGGCUCACCAAGGCGACGAUCCGUAACUGGUCUGAGAGGAUGAUCGGUCACACUGGAACUGAGACACGGUCCCGACUCCUACGGGAGGCAGCAGUGGGGAAUAUUGGACAAUGGGCGAAAGCCUGAUCCAGCCAUGCCGCGUGUGUGAAGAAGGUCUUCGGAUUGUAAAGCACUUUAAGUUGGGAGGAAGGGCAGUAAGUUAAUACCUUGCUGUUUUGACGUUACCGACAGAAUAAGCACCGGCUAACUCUGUGCCAGCAGCCGCGGUAA